rnacentral:misc_RNA from 1 species
GUAUAACUUUUUAUUUAUUUAUUCAUUCAACAUUAAAAAAGGUUUGUGAAAUAGACCUGAAGGGAAAGCCGACUUUCGCACAGCAGUCCCAACUCGAGCGAAUCAAAGGUCUACAAUACGUGCACAGUUGGAGAGAUAAAGAUGACAAGCGUGCACAUUACCUACAAGGUAGGCCAGCAACAACCUGUUCAAGUUUAUUCGAUAAUGAUCCUUCCGCAGGUUCACCUACGGAAA